GACGAACGCUGGCGGCGUGCCUAAUACAUGCAAGUUGAGCGCUGAAGGUUGGUACUUGUACCAACUGGAUGAGCAGCGAACGGGUGAGUAACGCGUGGGGAAUCUGCCUUUGAGCGGGGGACAACAUUUGGAAACGAAUGCUAAUACCGCAUAAAAACUUUAAACACAAGUUUUAAGUUUGAAAGAUGCAAUUGCAUCACUCAAAGAUGAUCCCGCGUUGUAUUAGCUAGUUGGUGAGGUAAAGGCUCACCAAGGCGAUGAUACAUAGCCGACCUGAGAGGGUGACUGCACAAGUUGGGACUGGACCACGGCCCAAACUCCUAGGGAGGGCAGCAGAAGGAAAUUUUGGGAAGUGGAAGAAAGUCAGACCGAGCAACGCCGGGGGGGUGAAGAGGGUUUUGGGGUGGGAAACUUUUUUGGGUAGGGAAAAACGUUGGGGAGGGUGGAAGGCUCAACAAGGGACGGAACUUACCCAGAAAGGGACGCCUAACUUGGU
rnacentral:rRNA from 1 species